CAAAAAUGUUGUUUAUUUACUAGAGCUAAAGUGUGUUCUACAUAUCCUAGAAUUGCUAAUCGGUAUACAGCUUCUCGCUUCACUGCUGGAAUCCAGAUGUUGAUGCUGAACCCAGUGGUGGUGAUGUGACGUAUAGUGAACUUGUAAUAAAACCACAGAAAAAAUCUAUGAGAAUAAAAGAAAAAGCCAGUGUUGGUGCUGAUACUGUAUACUCAGAGCUGAAGCUGAACACCAAGACUUCACUGGACUGAACUCAUCCAUGUGGACAUCCGAUCUGCUCAUGGGCAAGUGUGGCUGGACUAAAGCUGGGGACCGUUUUGAUCAAAGUGGUGGAAGAGGAUGACACCACUUCAGUCCACAGCAGUGAAAAGAAAUGUUUGCCAGAUUCAGUAAUAUACUUGUGCAAACUGAAAGAGUAAAUUAGAUACUUAAAAAUUAAAUACACAGGGCUACAGAUUUCACGCUGUGGUUUGGAUGAUCUAGUAGACACCUUAUGAAGUCCUAUGAUGUAUAGCGCACAUUACAAUGGUUGCACAAUUGCUUGUUUUUUUGCUACAAAUUGCUUAUUUAAU
ensembl:lncRNA